rnacentral:rRNA from 1 species
AAAGUCCUACGGGACGCAGCAGUGGGGAAUAUUGCACAAUGGGCGAAAGCCUGAUGCAGCAACGCCGCGUGAGCGAUGAAGGCCUUCGGGUCGUAAAGCUCUGUCCUCAAGGAAGAUAAUGACGGUACUUGAGGAGGAAGCCCCGGCUAACUACGUGCCAGCAGCCGCGGUAAUACGUAGGGGGCUAGCGUUAUCCGGAAUUACUGGGUGUAAAGGGCGUGUAGCCGGGCCGGCAAGUCAGAUGUGAAAUCCCAGGGCUCAACCUUGGAACUGCAUUUGAAACUGUUGGUCUUGAGUAUCGGAGA